rnacentral:lncRNA from 1 species
UGGUGGUGUGCCAGCUCCAGCAUUUGACAGUCUAAACAGCAUUCACAAUUGCAAACCCAGGUUUACUAUGCUGAUGGGAUUUUACUAAAACAUUCUGCAAUCUUUGAUGGACUCUUCAAGAGAUUUGUUGAAGCUGUCUAUGGGACACAUGAUUUACUUUGAGAUGGGUGUGAACUUUUAUAUCAUUUCAUGUUAAUGACUUGAAGCUGGAGCAUCAUGAUACACUGGUGAAAUCUGUUCAGGUUUCUGAAAGGAUUGAAGCAGCAUUUGAGAAGCUUACAGAGUGACAGAAAAGCAGCAAAAGGAUUUCAGCACUAACAGAUCUGGCAACAGUGCAACUGAAAUGAACAUCACCACUUU